GCCAGGCAUGGUGGCUCGGGCCUGUAAUUCCAGCUACUCAGGAGGCUGAGGCAGGAGAAUCACUUAAACCCGGGAGGUGGAGGUGGUGGGGAGCCGAGAUGGCGCCAUUGCACUCCAGCCUGGGUAACAAAAUCGAAAUGUCGUCUAAAAAACAUUUUUUUUUUUUUGAGAUGGAGUUUCGCUCUUGUUACCCAGGCUGGAGUGCAAUGGCGCGAUCUCGGCUCACCACCACCUCCACCUCCUGGGUUCAGGCAAUUCUCCUGCCUCAA
rnacentral:sRNA from 1 species